GUAUAGUUUCUAUAGGAAACAAGUUCCUAUUGAUGACAUUCUUUAAACUUGUGUAUAUAUAUAAACAUAGUCUUGUUAAUGACAGGAAAAUCCUAUCCAAGCCUACAAAAGGUGCACAGGUGGAGAUAUAUAAAGAUGAUGGACGAGCACAUGCCUAAGCCAGCUAACAGCCACAUCAGGUUUAUUCAAUAAUGAUCCUUCCGCAGGUUCACCUACGGAAA
rnacentral:misc_RNA from 1 species